rnacentral:rRNA from 1 species
AAACAUGGCCUUUUGUUAUUAUUUAAGGUCUGACCUGCUCAAUGAAAUUUUAAAUGGCCGCGGUAUUUUGACCGUGCAAAGGUAGCAUAAUCAUUAGUUUUUUAAUUGAAAGCUGGCAUGAAAGGUCGAAUGAGAAAAAAUCUGUCUCUUGGAAAUUUUAUUAGAAUUUUAUUUUUAAGUAAAAAAGCUUAAAUAAUGUUUAAAGACGAGAAGACCCUUUAGAGUUUUAUAUAAAUUAAUAAUUUAGAAUUUUAGAAUUUAUAAUUUAAAUUAGGAAUUUAUAUUUAAUUGGGGUGAUUGAAAAAUUUAAUGAACUUUUUUUUAUUAAACCAUUAAUUUAUGAAUAAUUGAUCCGUUUUUAGCGAUUAUAAGAAUAAAUUACCUAAGGGAUAACAGCGUUAUUUUUUUUGAGAGUUCAAAUCGAAAAAAAAGAUUGCGACCUCGAUGUUGGAUUAAAAUUAAAUUAUGGUGCAGUAGUCAUAAAUUUAAGUCUGUUCGACUUUUAAAAUUUUACAUG